rnacentral:tRNA from 1 species
AGAGACUUAGGAUAGCUCAAACCGAGGGCCUUCAAAGCCCUAAACAAGAGACCACCCUCUUAGCCUCUG